CCUACGGGAGGCAGCAGUGAGGAAUAUUGGUCAAUGGGCGCUAGCCUGAACCAGCCAAGUAGCGUGAAGGAUGACUGCCCUAUGGGUUGUAAACUUCUUUUAUAUGGGAAUAAAGUGCAGUAUGUAUACUGCUUUGCAUGUACCUUAUGAAUAAGGAUCGGCUAACCCCGUGCCAGCAGCCGCGGUAAUACGGAGGAUUAGAGCGUUAUCCGGAUUUAGUGGGUUUAAAGGGAGCGUAAGCGGGUUGUUAAGUCAGUUGGGAAAGUUUACGGCUUAACCGUAAAAUUGCAGUUGAUACUGGCAGUCUUGAGUAUAGUAGAGGUAGGCGGAAUUCGUGGUGUAGCGGUGAAAUGCUUAGAUAUCACGAAGAACCCCGAUUGCGAAGGCAGCCUGCUGGACUGUAACUGACGCUGAUGCUCGAAAGUGUGGGUAUCAAACAGGAUUAGAUACCCUUGUAGUC
rnacentral:rRNA from 1 species